rnacentral:rRNA from 1 species
CUGGAGGUAUCAGAAGUGCGAAUGCUGACAUAAGUAACGAUAAAGCGGGUGAAAAGCCCGCUCGCCGGAAGACCAAGGGUUCCUGUCCAACGUUAAUCGGGGCAGGGUGAGUCGACCCCUAAGGCGAGGCCGAAAGGCGUAGUCGAUGGGAAACAGGUUAAUAUUCCUGUACUUGGUGUUACUGCGAAGGGGGGACGGAGAAGGCUAUGUUGGCCGGGCGACGGUUGUCCCGGUUUAAGCGUGUAGGCUGGUUUUCCAGGCAAAUCCGGAAAAUCAAGGCUGAGGCGUGAUGACGAGGCACUACGGUGCUGAAGCAACAAAUGCCCUGCUUCCAGGAAAAGCCUCUAAGCAUCAGGUAACAUCAAAUCGUACCCCAAACCGACACAGGUGGUCAGGUAGAGAAUACCAAGGCGCUUGAGAGAACUCGGGUGAAGGAACUAGGCAAAAUGGUGCCGUAACUUCGGGAGAAGGCACGCUGAUAUGUAGGUGAGGUCCCUCGCGGAUGGAGCUGAAAUCAGUCGAAGAUACCAGCUGGCUGCAACUGUUUAUUAAAAACACAGCACUGUGCAAACACGAAAGUGGACGUAUACGGUGUGACGCCUGCCCGGUGCCGGAAGGUUAAUUGAUGGGGUUAGCGGUAACGCGAAGCUCUUGAUCGAAGCCCCGGUAAACGGCGGCCGUAACUAUAACGGUCCUAAGGUAGCGAAAUUCCUUGUCGGGUAAGUUCCGACCUGCACGAAUGGCGUAAUGAUGGCCAGGCUGUCUCCACCCGAGACUCAGUGAAAUUGAACUCGCUGUGAAGAUGCAGUGUACCCGCGGCAAGACGGAAAGACCCCGUGAACCUUUACUAUAGCUUGACACUGAACAUUGAGCCUUGAUGUGUAGGAUAGGUGGGAGGCUUUGAAGUGUGGACGCCAGUCUGCAUGGAGCCGACCUUGAAAUACCACCCUUUAAUGUUUGAUGUUCUAACGUUGACCCGUAAUCCGGGUUGCGGACAGUGUCUGGUGGGUAGUUUGACUGGGGCGGUCUCCUCCUAAAGAGUAACGGAGGAGCACGAAGGUUGGCUAAUCCUGGUCGGACAUCAGGAGGUUAGUGCAAUGGCAUAAGCCAGCUUGACUGCGAGCGUGACGGCGCGAGCAGGUGCGAAAGCAGGUCAUAGUGAUCCGGUGGUUCUGAAUGGAAGGGCCAUCGCUCAACGGAUAAAAGGUACUCCGGGGAUAACAGGCUGAUACCGCCCAAGAGUUCAUAUCGACGGCGGUGUUUGGCACCUCGAUGUCGGCUCAUCACAUCCUGGGGCUGAAGUAGGUCCCAAGGGUAUGGCUGUUCGCCAUUUAAAGUGGUACGCGAGCUGGGUUUAGAACGUCGUGAGACAGUUCGGUCCCUAUCUGCCGUGGGCGCUGGAGAACUGAGGGGGGCUGCUCCUAGUACGAGAGGACCGGAGUGGACGCAUCACUGGUGUUCGGGUUGUCAUGCCAAUGGCACUGCCCGGUAGCUAAAUGCGGAAGAGAUAAGUGCUGAAAGCAUCUAAGCACGAAACUUGCCCCGAGAUGAGUUCUCCCUGACCCUUUAAGGGUCCUGAAGGAACGUUGAAGACGACGACGUUGAUAGGCCGGGUGUGUAAGCGCAGCGAUGCGUUGAGCUAACCGGUACUAAUGAACCGUGAG